rnacentral:rRNA from 1 species
CGUGUAGGCGGCCGACUAAGUCUGAUGUGAAAUACCCGCUUUUAAGGUGGGUCGUGCAUUGGAAACUGGAUGGCUAGAGUGCGGAAGAGGUAAGUGGAAUUCCCAGUGUAGCGGUGAAAUGCGUAGAGAUUGGGAGGAACACCAGCGGCGAAGGCGACUUACUGGGCCGCAACUGACGCUGAGGCUCGAAAGCAUGGGUAGCAAACA